AUACGGAGGGUGCAAGCGUUAAUCGGAAUUACUGGGCGUAAAGGGCGCGUAGGUGGUUCUGUAAGUCGGGUGUGAAAGCCCCGGGCUCAACCUGGGAAUUGCAUUCGAUACUGCAGGACUAGAGUAUGGUAGAGGAAAGCGGAAUUCCCGGUGUAGCGGUGAAAUGCGUAGAUAUCAGGAGGAACACCAGUGGCGAAGGCGGCUUUCUGGACCAAUACUGACACUCAGGCGCGAAAGCUUGGGGAGCAAACAGGAUUAGAUACCCCAGUAGUCC
rnacentral:rRNA from 1 species